rnacentral:rRNA from 1 species
AUUGAACGCUGGCGGUAUGCUUAAGACAUGCAAGUCGAACGGUAACAGGUUAAGCUGACGAGUGGCGGACGAGUGAGUAACGCGUGGGAAUCUACCUUGUAGUGGGGGAUAAGCCAGGGAAACUUGGACUAAUACCGCAUACGCCCUAAGGGGAAAGGCGCAAGUCGCUAUAAGAUGAGCCCGCGUCUGAUUAGGUAGUUGGUGGGGUAAAGGCCUACCAAGCCGACGAUCAGUAGCUGGUCUGAGAGGAUGAUCAGCCACGUCGGGACUGAGACACGGCCCGGACUCCUACGGGAGGCAGCAGUCGGGAAUAUUGGACAAUGGGGGAAACCCGUCGAUCCAGCAAUACCGCGUGUGUGAAGAAGGCCUGCGGGUUGUAAAGCACUUUCAGUUGGGAGGAUAAUGACGUUACCAACAGAAGAAGCACCGG